CCUACGGGAGGCUGCAGUGGGGAAUAUUGCACAAUGGGCGCAAGCCUGAUGCAGCCAUGCCGCGUGUGUGAAGAAGGCCUUCGGGUUGUAGAGCACUUUCAGCGGGGAGGAAGGCGGUGAGGUUAAUAACCUCAUCGAUUGACGUUACCCGCAGAAGAAGCACCGGCUAACUCCGUGCCAGCAGCCGCGGUAAUACGGAGGGUGCAAGCGUUAAUCGGAAUUACUGGGCGUAAAGCGCACGCAGGCGGUCUGUCAAGUCGGAUGUGAAAUCCCCGGGCUCAACCUGGGAACUGCAUUCGAAACUGGCAGGCUAGAGUCUUGUAGAGGGGGGUAGAAUUCCAGGGGUAGCGGGGAAAUGCGUAGAGAUCUGGAGGAAUACCGGUGGCGAAGGCGGCCCCCUGGACAAAGACUGACGCUCAGGUGCGAAAGCGUGGGGAGCAAACAGGAUUAGAACCCUAGUAGUC
rnacentral:rRNA from 1 species